CUGGGUUUAGAACGUCGUGAGACAGUUCGGUCCCUAUCUGCCGUGGGCGCUGGAGAAUUGAGGGGGGCUGCUCCUAGUACGAGAGGACCGGAGUGGACGCAUCACUGGUGUUCGGGUUGUCAUGCCAAUGGCACUGCCCGGUAGCUAAAUGCGGAAGAGAUAAGUGCUGAAAGCAUCUAAGCACGAAACUUGCCCCGAGAUGAGUUCUCCCUGACUCCUUGAGAGUCCUGAAGGAACGUUGAAGACGACGACGUUGAUAGGCCGGGUGUGUAAGCGCAGCGAUGCGUUGAGCUAACCGGUACUAAUGAACCGUGAGGCUUAACCUUACAACGCCGAAG
rnacentral:rRNA from 1 species